GACAGAGGAUGCAAGCGUUAUCCGGAAUGAUUGGGCGUAAAGCGUCUGUAGGUGGCUUUUUAAGUCCGCCGUCAAAUCCCAGGGCUCAACCCUGGACAGGCGGUGGAAACUACCAAGCUGGAGUACGGUAGGGGCAGAGGGAAUUUCCGGUGUAGCGGUGAAAUGCGUAGAGAUCGGGAGGAACACCAGAGGCGAAGGCGGCGACCUGGACAGUUACUGACACUCAACUACGAAAGCGUGGGGAGCAAACAGG
rnacentral:rRNA from 1 species